CCUGAAACCGUGUACGUACAAGCAGUGGGAGCACGCUUCGGCGUGUGACUGCGUACCUUUUGUAUAAUGGGUCAGCGACUUAUAUUCUGUAGCAAGGUUAACCGAAUAGGGGAGCCGAAGGGAAACCGAGUCUUAACUGGGCGUUAAGUUGCAGGGUAUAGACCCGAAACCCGGUGAUCUAGCCAUGGGCAGGUUGAAGGUUGGGUAACACUAACUGGAGGACCGAACCGACUAAUGUUGAAAAAUUAGCGGAUGACUUGUGGCUGGGGGUGAAAGGCCAAUCAAACCGGGAGAUAGCUGGUUCUCCCCGAAAGCUAUUUAGGUAGCGCCUCGUGAACUCAUCUUCGGGGGUAGAGCACUGUUUCGGCUAGGGGGUCAUCCCGACUUACCAACCCGAUGCAAACUGCGAAUACCGGAGAAUGUUAUCACGGGAGACACACGGCGGGUGCUAACGUCCGUCGUGAAGAGGGAAACAACCCAGACCGCCAGCUAAGGUCCCAAAGUCAUGGUUAAGUGGGAAACGAUGUGGGAAGGCCCAGACAGCCAGGAUGUUGGCUUAGAAGCAGCCAUCAUUUAAAGAAAGCGUAAUAGCUCACUGGUCGAGUCGGCCUGCGCGGAAGAUGUAACGGGGCUAAACCAUGCACCGAAGCUGCGGCAGCGACGCUUAUGCGUUGUUGGGUAGGGGAGCGUUCUGUAAGCCUGCGAAGGUGUGCUGUGAGGCAUGCUGGAGGUAUCAGAAGUGCGAAUGCUGACAUAAGUAACGAUAAAGCGGGUGAAAAGCCCGCUCGCCGGAAGACCAAGGGUUCCUGUCCAACGUUAAUCGGGGCAGGGUGAGUCGACCCCUAAGGCGAGGCCGAAAGGCGUAGUCGAUGGGAAACAGGUUAAUAUUCCUGUACUUGGUGUUACUGCGAAGGGGGGACGGAGAAGGCUAUGUUGGCCGGGCGACGGUUGUCCCGGUUUAAGCGUGUAGGCUGGUUUUCCAGGCAAAUCCGGAAAAUCAAGGCUGAGGCGUGAUGACGAGGCACUACGGUGCUGAAGCAACAAAUGCCCUGCUUCCAGGAAAAGCCUCUAAGCAUCAGGUAACAUCAAAUCGUACCCCAAACCGACACAGGUGGUCAGGUAGAGAAUACCAAGGCGCUUGAGAGAACUCGGGUGAAGGAACUAGGCAAAAUGGUGCCGUAACUUCGGGAGAAGGCACGCUGAUAUGUAGGUGAAGUCCCUUGCGGAUGGAGCUGAAAUCAGUCGAAGAUACCAGCUGGCUGCAACUGUUUAUUAAAAACACAGCACUGUGCAAACACGAAAGUGGACGUAUACGGUGUGACGCCUGCCCGGUGCCGGAAGGUUAAUUGAUGGGGUUAGCGGUAACGCGAAGCUCUUGAUCGAAGCCCCGGUAAACGGCGGCCGUAACUAUAACGGUCCUAAGGUAGCGAAAUUCCUUGUCGGGUAAGUUCCGACCUGCACGAAUGGCGUAAUGAUGGCCAGGCUGUCUCCACCCGAGACUCAGUGAAAUUGAACUCGCUGUGAAGAUGCAGUGUACCCGCGGCAAGACGGAAAGACCCCGUGAACCUUUACUAUAGCUUGACACUGAACAUUGAGCCUUGAUGUGUAGGAUAGGUGGGAGGCUUUGAAGUGUGGACGCCAGUCUGCAUGGAGCCGACCUUGAAAUACCACCCUUUAAUGUUUGAUGUUCUAACGUUGACCCGUAAUCCGGGUUGCGGACAGUGUCUGGUGGGUAGUUUGACUGGGGCGGUCUCCUCCUAAAGAGUAACGGAGGAGCACGAAGGUUGGCUAAUCCUGGUCGGACAUCAGGAGGUUAGUGCAAUGGCAUAAGCCAGCUUGACUGCGAGCGUGACGGCGCGAGCAGGUGCGAAAGCAGGUCAUAGUGAUCCGGUGGUUCUGAAUGGAAGGGCCAUCGCUCAACGGAUAAAAGGUACUCCGGGGAUAACAGGCUGAUACCGCCCAAGAGUUCAUAUCGACGGCGGUGUUUGGCACCUCGAUGUCGGCUCAUCACAUCCUGGGGCUGAAGUAGGUCCCAAGGGUAUGGCUGUUCGCCAUUUAAAGUGGUACGCGAGCUGGGUUUAGAACGUCGUGAGACAGUUCGGUCCCUAUCUGCCGUGGGCGCUGGAGAACUGAGGGGGGCUGCUCCUAGUACGAGAGGACCGGAGUGGACGCAUCACUGGUGUUCGGGUUGUCAUGCCAAUGGCACUGCCCGGUAGCUAAAUGCGGAAGAGAUAAGUGCUGAAAGCAUCUAAGCACGAAACUUGCCCCGAGAUGAGUUCUCCCUGACUCCUUGA
rnacentral:rRNA from 1 species